GUAGGUGGCAAGCGUUGUCCGGAAUUAUUGGGCGUAAAGCGCGCGCAGGUGGUUCUUUAAGUCUGAUGUGAAAGCCCCCGGCUCAACCGGGGAGGGUCAUUGGAAACUGGGGAACUUGAGUGCAGGAGAGGAAAGUGGAAUUCCACGUGUAGCGGUGAAAUGCGUAGAUAUGUGGAGGAACCCCAGUGGCGAAGGCGACUUUCUGGCCUGUAACUGACACUGAGGCGCGAAAGCGUGGGGAGCAAACAGGGAUUAGAUACCCUGGUAGUCCACGCCGUAAACGAUGAGUGCUAAGUGUUGGGGGGGUUUCCCGCCCCUCAGUGCUGCAGCUAACGCAUUAAGCACUCCGCCUGGGGAGUACGGUCGCAAGACUG
rnacentral:rRNA from 1 species